rnacentral:tRNA from 1 species
UAGCUUAACGGCAGAGCAUAUGUUUAGUAUGCAUAAUGCCCUGGGUUUCAUCCCCAG